rnacentral:rRNA from 1 species
AUGUGAUCGUCUCUCGCAUAUCAAUAAGCGGAGGAAAAGAAACUAACAAGGAUUCCCCUAGUAACGGCGAGUGAAGCGGGAAGAGCUCAAAUUUGAAAUCUUAAAGGGUUUCCCUUUACGAAUUGUGGUUUAAAGAAGUGUUUUCUGUUGAGGUUUUGGUAAAAGUUCUUUGGAAUAGGACAUCAUAGAGGGUGAGAAUCCCGUAUUUGACCUUUACUUUCAACUUUGUGAUACACUUUCAAAGAGUCGGAUUGUUUGGGAAUGCAGUCCAAAAUGGGUGGUAAAUUUCAUCUAAAGCUAAAUAUUGGCGAGAGACCGAUAGCGAACAAGUACCGUGAGGGAAAGAUGAAAAGAACUUUGAAAAGAGAGUUAAACAGUACGUGAAAUUGUCAAAAGGGAAGCGUUUGACACCAGUGUUGUUUUUCUGAAAAUCAAUUAAAGAACUGUUUAUGCUAAGUUGUUUAGACUUUAUCAGCUAAUCUGUUUAGUUUUGAGCUUUUCUUUAAUGCACUUUUCAGUUAACAAGUCAACAUCAAUUUCUUUUGCUGUAAAAAAGCUUGAGGAAGGUGGCUUGAGAUUCGUCUUAAGUGUUUAUAGCCUCUUGCCUAUGCAGUCGGAGAGAUUGAGGUCUGCAGCGUAGAUCCUUCGGGGCUAAAUGCAUUUGUGCUAAGUUAUAGCAUUUUCAUAGACAACUUGUUGACUAUGAUUUGUCUUGUAGCUUACUCGCUUAUGUUAUUUUACCUACGCUUAGGAUGUUGACUGAUAUGUAGUCGUA